GUAUAUCAGAGUCAACUGUCCGUCGAAGACUGAGAGAAUUUGGUUUAAGCCUGAGAAAGACAACACAUAUCACCGACAUGGAGUUAGAUCAAUCAAUCACUGAAGUGAUUGGUACAAAUCGCCAUAUUGGACCGAAUUCAGUCAGAGUUCGACUUGCACAAAAGAAAAUAUUUGUUUCCAGAGAGAGAGUGAGGACAGCAUGUGCACGUGUAGAUCCAGAUGGAUGUUCCUUACGAUCGUUAGAGAGAAAAAAUAUAAAACGUCGUACUUACAAGGUUGCUGGACCAAAUUCCCUGUGGCAUCUGGAUGGAAACCACAAGUUGAUAUGGUGGGAAAUUGUCAUCCAUGGUGGUAUUGAUGGUUACA